GGCGAGAGCCCGAUCCUUCGGCCCGGCACUCAUAAUGCCGGGGUCGAGGGUUCGAGUCCCUCCCUUUCCACCA
rnacentral:tRNA from 2 species